GAAAUUAUAUUAGUACACAAUUGACAUUAGGGAAAUAAGCAGGACUAUAAUAAUUGCGGGAAAAAUGGUCAGUGUCGCGGGUCGCGGCGGAGGCGCCGGACGAGGGUGACCCGCGCUGCUGCCUCCUUACAGUUUGAGUCGUUUGUGAUGCGUACGUUAGUUUUAAUUACUUUAGUGCCCACUAACACCACAAGACAAUCAUCAAAUCCUGAUCAUUUGUGAUGACCGGAAAGUUUGCUGCCCCACUGUAAAGGUGGAUCUUCGUGUGUGUUCACCUCGUGACACGAGUAAGCAGAACACCGAACUUUCUGCGCACAUCGCCUCAUACCAG